AAUGAUGUAUCAAAAAUAUCCUACGCCGUGCCAUAGACCGCUUCCGCGUUUGGGAGGAAGCUGAUCAUUCCUUCUCUGUAAAUGAAAGUGAAAGAGAUUUAAAGCCAGGGUCGCCAUUUCAGCAAGAAGCACGAAAAAGACUCUGGGAGGAUUUAAAGGUAUUUGAUUUGCAAGUGUAAGUGAAACUAAAACUACAGCAAAAACUUGAUUCACUGGUCUGAAGUGAUUUUACUCUGAAGUGGAUUUUCAGUACAAGAGAGAAAAAUAUGGCAAGCAUGGAUGAAGUUUUAGGAUAUUCAAAGUCCUGGAAAUCUUUUGAAUCCCAUUUGGAGCGUGACAACACAUAUAAAGGUAGGAGGAUGUACAUCAUGUACCAUGGUACCACACGAACAGCCGCAUUAAUUAUUAAAAAGCAC